UGAGCAAUCUGCCCUUCACAUCGGAAUAACCAUUGGAAACGAUGGCUAAUACCGAAUAUGACUUCGGAUCGCAUGAUCUGAAGUGGAAAGCUCCGGCGGUGAAGGAUGAGCUCGCGGCCUAUCAGCUUGUUGGUGCGGGUAAUGGCCCACAAGGCGACGACGGGUAGCCGGCCUGAGGAGGGUCGACCCGGCCACACGUGGGACUGAGACGACCGGCCCAGGNUCCGUACGGGG
rnacentral:rRNA from 1 species